AAUUAAAAAAAAAAAAAAAAACCCUAAUUUCCUGAUUCAGUUGCAGCUUCUUCAUCUUGUUUAUCAAUUCUAGAAAAUUCGAAUAAAUUCCGAUCAUCAUCAUCAUCAUUUCACAGGAUUCACAGAAACCCUAGAACUACUUUCUACGGCAGCGAACUCUUCCUCGGCCUACCUCUCUUUCUCGGAACCGUAGCUCCGGCAGUCGGUGGCGUCGACGUCGGUUUCGGCGGAGCCACCGUCGUCUUCUGCAAAAUCGGCUUCGGCGGAGCUACCAGCGUCGUAAAGGCAGCAAUAGCCUCACCAGGCUCCGCCAACGGCACACUACUACCGUUCGGCAACGAAUCAGCCACCGGCCACGCUUUAACAUUCGUCGGAACAAUCGGCGGCAUCCAGUUAGGUAUCGUCAGAGAUUUCGCCGUCUCACUGUUCGCCAUCGCGAAUCCCAUCGGAAAAUAACUCCAGCAACAAUAAUACGCUUCCUUACCUGGAAUCGUCUGCGGUAACGACGCCGGAGGUAUCGCCACCGCCUGAAACGCUCGUUUACAAUUCGCACAUCUCAAACAACAUCCUUCGUAGAUUUUAGGAUAUUCAUACAAGUUAUAACAGUACGGACACGCCGUCCAUAUAUUCACCUUCGCCGUUGUUUCCGUCGCUGUUGCUGUUGCUGUUGCAGUUGUUUCCGUCUGAUUCGCCGCCGUUGUUCCGCCGUCCGCCGGAUUCCUUCUCACCGGAAUCUUAUCGCGCUGCAUGAUCGGCGUUGUUUCAGAUCUCUGAUUCUGUUUCUGUUUCUCUUUCUCCAGAUCUACUUUUUCAAACGCAAACAGCUUGCUAUCGUACGCCGAUUUACGCUCCGGGUCUGAAACAACCGCCCAGGCGUCCGCCACAAGUUUGAAAGCAGAAUCGGCGAACGGAAACUUGUUCUUAUCUGGAUGAAGAAGAAGAGCUAGUUUGCGGUACUGGCGUUUGAUCAAUUCGUCGUCGUUUUGCCGGCCGUCGAGUUGGAGAACGGCGUACCAGUUCGGUUGAUUGUGGAUCUGCUUCUCGGCGGCGAGGAGGACGUCGACGACGGCUAAGAUCUGAUCGGAACCGUCGAGUAAAGGCUCGGUUUCCUGAGCGAGAUGAGCGAAGUCUCGAGAGCCGUUGAGGUCUUUGGAUUGAAGGAGUUUUUCGGCGAUUCCGAGUAACCGCUCCGCCUCUGCUCUGCUUGUUGAUUGCAUAUCUCCGGUUAGGGUUUUGAAAGGAUGGUAGGUGGUGGGUGGAGGGUGA
rnacentral:lncRNA from 1 species